rnacentral:rRNA from 1 species
AGUUCAAAGAUUAUUUAUUUUGAAUGUAUUCUGCCCAAUGAAUUUUUUAAUGGCCGCAGUACCUUGACUGUGCUAAGGUAGCAUAAUCAAUUGGCUUUUAAUUUGAGUCUGGAAUGAAUGGAAAAAUGAAAUAAUUCUGUCUUAAUAGAGAUUUUCUUAAUUUAUUUAAAUAGUGAAAAUACUAUUUCUUAGAAAAAAGACGAGAAGACCCUUAGAGUUUUUAUAAAUUUAUUAUUAUUUUUUGUUGGGGCGACAAAUAAACAUAUAACUUUAUAAAUUAAAUACAUCGAUUAUUAUAAAAAUAAUUAAACUACCUUAGGGAUAACAGCAUUAUUUUUUAAAAUGAUUGUGACCUCGAUGUUGGACUAGGAACUUUAUGGCUAACCGUCAAAUAAGAUUUGUUCUGUUCGAACAAUAUUAUCCUAC